GGUGUGUCCAGUCUUUACCUGGGCAGUAGUAGUAGUAGUAGUAGUAGUAGUGGUGAGGUGUGUCCAGUCUUUACCUGGGCAGUAGUAGUAGUAGUAGUAGUAGUAGUGGUGAGGUGUGUCCAGUCUUUACCUGGGUAGUAGUAGUAGUAGUAGUAAUAGUAGUAGUAGUAGUAGUAGUGGUAGUAGUGGUGGUGAGGUGUGUUCUAGGCUUUAUCUGGGCAGUAGUAGUAGUAGUAGUAGUAGUAGUAGUAGUAAUGUGUGUUCUUGUCUUUAUC